rnacentral:rRNA from 1 species
GACGAACGCUGGCGGCGUGCUUAACACAUGCAAGUCGAACGGAAAGGCCCUGCUUUUGUGGGGUGCUCGAGUGGCGAACGGGUGAGUAACACGUGAGUAACCUGCCCUUGACUUUGGGAUAACUUCAGGAAACUGGGGCUAAUACCGGAUAGGAGCUCCUGCUGCAUGGUGGGGGUUGGAAAGUUUCGGCGGUUGGGGAUGGACUCGCGGCUUAUCCGCUUGUUGGUGGGGUAGUGGCUUACCAGGGCUUUGACGGGUAGCCGGCCUGAGAGGGUGGCCGGCCACAUUGGGACUGCGAUACGGCCCAGACUCCUACGGGAGGCAGCAGUGGGGAAUAUUGCACAAUGGGCGGAAGCCUGAUGCAGCAACGCCGCGUGCGGGAUGACGGCCUUCGGGUUGUAAACCGCUUUCGCCUGGGACGAAGCGUGAGUGACGGUAAUGGGUAAAGAAGCACCGGCUAACUACGUG